GGGUGCUUGAGACUGUUUGUCUCAGGUAUUCACCAAAAGGCAGACAGAGAAAAUCCCCACCUGACUAUACCCAAAAUAAUUCGAGUUGCUUAAAGGCGGCAAGGGAGUGAGUCCCCAGG
rnacentral:antisense_RNA from 1 species